GACCCAAUGGUCUAGAGGUAUGAUACACGCUUCGGGCUUCCCGGACCUCUGCGGUCUUGUAUGUGUGUGGCCCCGCGUUCGAAUCGCGGUUGGGUCC